rnacentral:lncRNA from 1 species
UUGUACAUUGGUGUACGUGGUAGAUCAUAUAUACAAGAUCUUUAAUCAUGGGUGGCUGAUGUACAGAUGAUGCAUGACUAAGCAGCAUUGAUACAGUAACCAAUGAGAACAUUAUUCUUGAUACCAAUUAUUGUGAUUAGACAUUUUUUACAGGGUUGGCCUGAUAUGCUAUGAAGUCAAAAAUCAACAUCAUUAUCAUUUUUUUUCAUGAAAUUUGUUCGUGUCC